rnacentral:rRNA from 1 species
AUUGUACGCUGGCGGCAGGCCUAACACAUGCAAGUCGAACGAGUGGCGGAGGGGUGAGUAAUGUCUGGGAAACUGCCCGAUGGAGGGGGAUAACAACUGGAAACGGUAGCUAAUAACGCAUCCCAUCGGAUGUGCCCAGUGGGGAUUAGCUAGUCGGGGGGGUAACGGCUCACCUAGGCGACGAGCCCUAGCUGGUCUGAGAGGAUUACCAGCCACACUGGGACUGAGACACGGCCCAGACUCCUACGGGAGGCAGCAGUGGGGAAUAUUGGCCAAUGGGGGAAAGCCUGAUCGAGCCAUGCCGCGUGUAUGAAGAAGGCCUUCUGGUUGUAAAUUUCUUUCAGCGGAGAGGCGUUACUCACAGAAGAAGCACCGGCUAACUCCGUGCCAGCAGCCGCGGUAAUAC